AUGCUAGGCCAAGGUCAAAGGCAGGAAGCCAGAGCCAAUGGAACCGGGCACCUGCCAUGGGCCCCGUAUCCAGGCGACCUUCCCCCCGCCCCCCAGCUGCACCGCUGGGCUCCCGGCCACACGCACUCCCUCCGUGAGGACAGCAGCCGGGACGGGACAGUGGAGAUAACCUUUUGCGGGACAUUUGCAGCCAUUCUUAUGGAAAGGUCACCCAGAAAGUAUCCUUCCACACAGCCAGGGAGAGCAGGCAAACAAAGCCCCCUCCUCACGGGACGCGUGGAAGCAGCCGGGUCUCGGCGGCGCGGCUGGCCCAGCGGCCGCCUUCCUGAGCGGCGGGAACCAGGGCAGCUCUGCAGGUGGUUCUGUCUGAAAGAGCAGGAGCUGCUGCCCACGGCUGGGCCCAGGUCCACACAAAGGAGGUGGGAGGCUUCCCUCGGGGCUGCAGGGCGGGCUCACACCCUCCCCAGGCCCUACAAGCACACACGGCUGGGGCUCCAGGGAGGGCCUGGGGGCUGUGGGUGUCUCCGGCCCACCUGCUCGCAGCUCCCGCCGGUCCCCUGUGCAGGCGGCUCUCCCUGGGAGGGGGGGCGCACAGAGGCCCCACUGGCUCAGGCCACACCUGUUCCAAGGGGAGAGGUGGCGCAGGCACCGUCCGUGCUGCCUCGCUGGGCUCAUUUCUCCUGUCCCCGCCAUGCACACCGCUCCCACGCAGCUGACUGCCCGGGGACUGGAGACCUGACCCCCAGAGGACUUGCCAUCUCCUUUCCCCACCACCCCGCCAUCCGUCUCCGUGAUGGGCAAGCAGGUGGGAGAGACCCAGGGAGAGGACGCAGCACAAAUGCAGGUGCACAUCUCAGCUCAGUGAGGCGCCUGCGAAGGAGGGCCCCCGGCAGCCCUGGCCACAGCUGCUGGGGCCCCACGCCCCGAAGUCACCGGUUCCAGUUCCAGAUGGCCCAGCUGCAGCUGGGUUUCUGUCCGAGGAGGCCCAGGGGCCUGGCCUUCCCCGUGGGCCCACACGCACCUCAGUGUGGACUCCCCCGACUUAGCCCUCUGCUUCCUCCCGGCAAAGCAGCCUGGAGACCACUUCCAGACCAGAGACGGUGCGAGAAUCCGCGCCACUGCGACUGUUCUGUUGAUAAAGGCAGAUGA
rnacentral:lncRNA from 1 species